rnacentral:rRNA from 1 species
UACCACCCUUGUAGUGUUGAUGUUCUAACGUCGACCCCUUAUCGGGGUUGCGGACAGUGCCUGGUGGGUAGUUUGACUGGGGCGGUCUCCUCCCAAAGAGUAACGGAGGAGCACGAAGGUGGGCUAAUCACGGUUGGACAUCGUGAGGUUAGUGCAAUGGCAUAAGCCCGCUUGACUGCGAGAAUGACAAUUCGAGCAGGUGCGAAAGCAGGUCAUAGUGAUCCGGUGGUUCUGAAUGGAAGGGCCAUCGCUCAACGGAUAAAAGGUACUCCGGGGAUAACAGGCUGAUACCGCCCAAGAGUUCAUAUCGACGGCGGUGUUUGGCACCUCGAUGUCGGCUCAUCACAUCCUGGGGCUGAAGUCGGUCCCAAGGGUAUGGCUGUUCGCCAUUUAAAGUGGUACGCGAGCUGGGUUUAGAACGUCGUGAGACAGUUCGGUCCCUAUCUGCCGUGGGCGUUGGAAGAUUGAAGGGGGCUGCUCCUAGUACGAGAGGACCGGAGUGGACGAACCUCUGGUGUUCGGGUUGUGUCGCCAGACGCAUUGCCCGGUAGCUAAGUUCGGAAUCGAUAACCGCUGAAAGCAUCUAAGCGGGAAGCGAGCCCUGAGAUGAGUCUUCCCUGAUACUUUAAGUAUCCUAAAGGGUUGUCGGAGACUACGACGUUGAUAGGUCAGGUGUGUAAGUGCUGUGAGGCAUUGAGCUAACUGAUACUAAUUGCCCGUGAGGCUUAACCAU